rnacentral:rRNA from 1 species
UACGUAGGGACCAAGCGUUGUUCGGAUUUACUGGGCGUAAAGGGCGCGUAGGCGGCUUAACAAGUCACUUGUGAAAUCUCCGGGCUUAACUCGGAACGGCCAAGUGAAACUGUCAAGCUAGAGUGCAGAAGGGGCAAUCGGAAUUCUUGGUGUAGCGGUGAAAAUGCGUAGAUAUCAAGAGGAACACCUGAGGUGAAGACGGGGUUGCUGGGCUGACACUGACGCUGAGGCGCGAAAGCCAGGGGAGCAAACGGG